GGAUGAACGCUAGCUACAGGCUUAACACAUGCAAGUCGAGGGGCAUCAGGAAGAAAGCUUGCUUUCUUUGCUGGCGACCGGCGCACGGGUGAGUAACACGUAUCCAACCUGCCCUUUACUCGGGGAUAGCCUUUCGAAAGAAAGAUUAAUACCCGAUAGCAUAAUGAUUCCGCAUGGUUUCAUUAUUAAAGGAUUCCGGUAAAGGAUGGGGAUGCGUUCCAUUAGGUUGUUGGUGAGGUAACGGCCCACCAAGCCUUCGAUGGAUAGGGGUUCUGAGAGGAAGGUCCCCCACAUUGGAACUGAGACACGGUCCAAACUCCUACGGGAGGCAGCAGUGAGGAAUAUUGGUCAAUGGGCGCUAGCCUGAACCAGCCAAGUAGCGUGAAGGAUGAAGGCUCUAUGGGUCGUAAACUUCUUUUAUAUAAGAAUAAAGUGCAGUAUGUAUACUGUUUUGUAUGUAUUAUAUGAAUAAGGAUCGGCUAACUCCGUGCCAGCAGCCGCGGUAAUACGGAGGAUCCGAGCGUUAUCCGGAUUUAUUGGGUUUAAAGGGAGCGUAGGUGGACUGGUAAGUCAGUUGUGAAAGUUUGCGGCUCAACCGUAAAAUUGCAGUUGAUACUGUCAGUCUUGAGUACAGUAGAGGUGGGCGGAAUUCGUGGUGUAGCGGUGAAAUGCUUAGAUAUCACGAAGAACUCCGAUUGCGAAGGCAGCUCACUGGACUGCAACUGACACUGAUGCUCGAAAGUGUGGGUAUCAAACAGGAUUAGAUACCCUGGUAGUCCACACAGUAAACGAUGAAUACUCGCUGUUUGCGAUAUACAGUAAGCGGCCAAGCGAAAGCAUUAAGUAUUCCACCUGGGGAGUACGCCGGCAACGGUGAAACUCAAAGGAAUUGACGGGGGCCCGCACAAGCGGAGGAACAUGUGGUUUAAUUCGAUGAUACGCGAGGAACCUUACCCGGGCUUAAAUUGCAGUGGAAUGAUGUGGAAACAUGUCAGUGAGCAAUCACCGCUGUGAAGGUGCUGCAUGGUUGUCGUCAGCUCGUGCCGUGAGGUGUCGGCUUAAGUGCCAUAACGAGCGCAACCCUUAUCUUCAGUUACUAACAGGUUAUGCUGAGGACUCUGGAGAGACUGCCGUCGUAAGAUGUGAGGAAGGUGGGGAUGACGUCAAAUCAGCACGGCCCUUACGUCCGGGGCUACACACGUGUUACAAUGGGGGGUACAGAAGGCAGCUACCUGGUGACAGGAUGCUAAUCCCAAAAGCCUCUCUCAGUUCGGAUCGAAGUCUACAACCCGACUUCGUGAAGCUGGAUUCGCUAGUAAUCGCGCAUCAGCCACGGCGCGGUGAAUACGUUCCCGGGCCUUGUACACACCGCCCGUCAAGCCAUGGGAGCCGGGGGUACCUGAAGUACGUAACCGCAAGGAUCGUCCUAGGGUAAAACUGGUGACUGG
rnacentral:rRNA from 1 species